rnacentral:snRNA from 1 species
CGUAGCCAAUGAGGUUAAUCCGAGGCGCGAUUAUUGCUAAUUGAAAACUUUUCCCAAUACCCCGCCAUGACGACUUGAAAUAUAGUCGGCAUUGGCAAUUUUUGACAGUCUCUACGGAGA